AUUGAACGCUGGCGGCAGGCCUAACACAUGCAAGUCGAGCGAGUCCAGGGGGCUUGCUCCUGCAUGCAUCGGCAGACGGGUGAGACAUGCCUAUAAAUCUGCCUGGUCGUGGCGGAUAACGUCCGGAAACGGGCGCUACUACCGCGUACGUACUGAGGGCGAAAGUGGGGGGGCUUCCGUCUUCUCGGUAUUGGAUGAGGCUAGGUCGGAUUCGCUAGUUGGCAGGGUAAAGGCCUACCAAGGCGACGAUCCGUAGCUGGUCUGAGAGGAUGAUCCGUCACACUGGGACUGAGACACGGCCCAGACUCCUACGGGAGGCAGCAGUGGGGAAUAUUGGACAAUGGGCGAAAGCCUGAUCCAGCAAUGCCGCGUGAGUGAUGAAGGCCUUAGGGUUGUAAAGCUCUUUUACCCGGGAUGAUAAUGACAGUACCGGGAGAAUAAGCACCGGCUAACUCCGUG
rnacentral:rRNA from 1 species